CAGCUGGAAACCUGUGGAGAUGAAGGAGGAGACCCAGGACCCGCCGUAUCCGAGCCCCGAGGUACACAUGGAAAACAGAAGAAUGGAGUCUUGGCUCCAGCAGUUUCCAGAUGACUUCUGUGUGAAUAAACUACUAAAAGAAGUGGGAUUCUGGAAGCCGUUCCUCUGACUCACCGGGCUUUCUCUGAGGACCAGGCCCUUAUCCUUUGGUGUCCUGGGUUGGAAUGGACACUUGGGAGUGGCAGAGAGAAUGACAGGCAGCC